rnacentral:rRNA from 1 species
UACGUAGGGUGCAAGCGUUAUCCGGAAUUAUUGGGCGUAAAGAGCUCGUAGGCGGUUUGUCGCGUCUGCUGUGAAAACCCGAGGCUCAACCUCGGGCCUGCAGUGGGUACGGGCAGACUAGAGUGCGGUAGGGGAGAUUGGAAUUCCUGGUGUAGCGGUGAAAUGCGCAGAUAUCAGGAGGAACACCGAUGGCGAAGGCAGGUCUCUGGGCAUUAACUGACUCUGAGGAGCGAAAGCAUGGGGAGCGAACAGG